AGCUUUGUGCAGAGGCAGUAUCGUAGCCAAUGAGGUUUAUCCGAGGUGUGAUAAUUGCUAAUUGAAAACUUUUCUCAUAAAUGCAGCAAAGAAUGCCUGAACUGCCUUUUACUGAGCACUGAUUACACACCAAAGCCAAGCACUUUAUGAUCACUCAAUUUAAAUUCUCAUGACAACCUUAAGAGAUGAGCAGUGUUCACCCUAUUUUUUAGAUUUUUAAAAAAUAUUUAGAACCCAUUUUAAAGAUGG
rnacentral:snRNA from 12 species